GACGAACGCUGGCGGCGUGCCUAAUACAUGCAAGUAGAACGCACAGUUUAUACCGUAGCUUGCUACACCAUAGACUGUGAGUUGCGAACGGGUGAGUAACGCGUAGGUAACCUGCCUGGUAGCGGGGGAUAACUAUUGGAAACGAUAGCUAAUACCGCAUAAUAUUCAUUAUUGCAUGAUAAUUAAUUGAAAGGUGCAAUUGCACCACUACCAGAUGGACCUGCGUUGUAUUAGCUAGUAGGUGAGGUAACGGCUCACCUAGGCGACGAUACAUAGCCGACCUGAGGUGGGGAGUGGCCCACCUGGGAGUGAGAACCGGCCCAGACUCCGUCGGGGGGGAGCCGUAUGGAAUCUUGCGGAAUGGACGAAAGUCUGAACGAGCAACGCCGCGUGAGGGAAGAAGGUUUUCGGAUCGUAAAGCUCUGUUGUAAGGGAAGAACGGGUGUGAGAGUGGAAAGUUCACACUGUGACGGUAUCUUACCAGAAAGGGACGGCUAACUACGUG
rnacentral:rRNA from 1 species